rnacentral:rRNA from 1 species
UACGAGGGGGGCAAGCGUUGUUCGGAAUUACUGGGCGUAAAGGGCUCGUAGGCGGCCAACUAAGUCGGACGUGAAAUCCCCAGGCUCAACCUGGGAACUGCGUCCGAUACUGGAUGGCUUGAAUCCGGGAGAGGGAUGCAGAAUUCCAGGUGUAGCGGUGAAAUGCGUAGAUAUCUGGAGGAACACCGGUGGCGAAGGCGGCAUCCUGGACCGGUAUUGACGCUGAGGCGCGAAAGCCAGGGGAGCAAACGGG